GUUGUUGGGUAGGGGAGCGUUCUGUAAGCCUGCGAAGGUGGCCUGUGAGGGUUGCUGGAGGUAUCAGAAGUGCGAAUGCUGACAUAAGUAACGAUAAAGCGGGUGAAAAGCCCGCUCGCCGGAAGACCAAGGGUUCCUGUCCAACGUUAAUCGGGGCAGGGUGAGUCGACCCCUAAGGCGAGGCCGAAAGGCGUAGUCGAUGGGAAACGGGUUAAUAUUCCCGUACUUGGUGUUACUGCGAAGGGGGGACGGAGAAGGCUAUGUUGGCCGGGCGACGGUUGUCCCGGUUUAAGCGUGUAGGUGUGUGUUCCAGGUAAAUCCGGUUCACUUUAACACUGAGGCGUGACGACGAGGCACUACGGUGCUGAAGCAACAAAUGCCCUGCUUCCAGGAAAAGCCUCUAAGCAUCAGGUAACAUCAAAUCGUACCCCAAACCGACACAGGUGGUCAGGUAGAGAAUACCAAGGCGCUUGAGAGAACUCGGGUGAAGGAACUAGGCAAAAUGGUGCCGUAACUUCGGGAGAAGGCACGCUGACACGUAGGUGAAGUGAUUUACUCAUGGAGCUGAAGUCAGUCGAAGAUACCAGCUGGCUGCAACUGUUUAUUAAAAACACAGCACUGUGCAAACACGAAAGUGGACGUAUACGGUGUGACGCCUGCCCGGUGCCGGAAGGUUAAUUGAUGGGGUCAGCGCAAGCGAAGCUCCUGAUCGAAGCCCCGGUAAACGGCGGCCGUAACUAUAACGGUCCUAAGGUAGCGAAAUUCCUUGUCGGGUAAGUUCCGACCUGCACGAAUGGCGUAAUGAUGGCCAGGCUGUCUCCACCCGAGACUCAGUGAAAUUGAACUCGCUGUGAAGAUGCAGUGUACCCGCGGCAAGACGGAAAGACCCCGUGAACCUUUACUAUAGCUUGACACUGAACAUUGAGCCUUGAUGUGUAGGAUAGGUGGGAGGCUUUGAAGUGUGGACGCCAGUCUGCAUGGAGCCGACCUUGAAAUACCACCCUUUAAUGUUUGAUGUUCUAACGUGGACCCGUUACCCGGGUUGCGGACAGUGUCUGGUGGGUAGUUUGACUGGGGCGGUCUCCUCCUAAAGAGUAACGGAGGAGCACGAAGGUUGGCUAAUCCUGGUCGGACAUCAGGAGGUUAGUGCAAUGGCAUAAGCCAGCUUGACUGCGAGCGUGACGGCGCGAGCAGGUGCGAAAGCAGGUCAUAGUGAUCCGGUGGUUCUGAAUGGAAGGGCCAUCGCUCAACGGAUAAAAGGUACUCCGGGGAUAACAGGCUGAUACCGCCCAAGAGUUCAUAUCGACGGCGGUGUUUGGCACCUCGAUGUCGGCUCAUCACAUCCUGGGGCUGAAGUAGGUCCCAAGGGUAUGGCUGUUCGCCAUUUAAAGUGGUACGCGAGCUGGGUUUAGAACGUCGUGAGACAGUUCGGUCCCUAUCUGCCGUGGGCGCUGGAGAACUGAGGGGGGCUGCUCCUAGUACGAGAGGACCGGAGUGGACGCAUCACUGGUGUUCGGGUUGUCAUGCCAAUGGCACUGCCCGGUAGCUAAAUGCGGAAGAGAUAAGUGCUGAAAGCAUCUAAGCACGAAACUUGCCCCGAG
rnacentral:rRNA from 1 species